rnacentral:rRNA from 1 species
GUAGUCAUAUGCUUGUCUCAAAGAUUAAGCCAUGCAUGUCUAAGUAUAAGCAAUUAUACCGUGAAACUGCGAAUGGCUCAUUAAAUCAGUUAUCGUUUAUUUGAUAGUACCUUACUACUUGGAUAACCGUGGUAAUUCUAGAGCUAAUACAUGCUGAAAACCCCAGCUUCGGGAGGGGUGUAUUUAUUAGAUAAAAAACCAACGCCCUUCGGGGCUUCUUGGUGAUUCAUGAUAACUUCACGGAUCGCAUGGCCUUGCGCCGGCGAUGGUUCAUUCAAAUUUCUGCCCUAUCAACUUUCGAUGGUAGGAUAGUGGCCUACCAUGGUAUCAACGGGUAACGGGGAAU